GACGAACGCUGGCGGCUUGCUUAACACAUGCAAGUCGAACGGAAAGGCCCUGCUUUUGUGGGGUGCUCGAGUGGCGAACGGGUGAGUAACACGUGAGUAACCUGCCCUUGACUUUGGGAUAACUUCAGGAAACUGGGGCUAAUACCGGAUAGGAGCUCCUGCUGCAUGGUGGGGGUUGGAAAGUUUCGGCGGUUGGGGAUGGACUCGCGGCUUAUCAGCUUGUUGGUGGGGUAGUGGCUUACCAAGGCUUUGACGGGUAGCCGGCCUGAGAGGGUGACCGGCCACAUUGGGCCUGAGAUACGGCCCAGACUCCUACGGGAGGCAGCAGUGGGGAAUAUUGCACAAUGGGCGGAAGCCUGAUGCAGCAACGCCGCGUGCGGGAUGACGGCCUUCGGGUUGUAAACCGCUUUCGCCUGUGACGAAGCGUGAGUGACGGUAAUGGGUAAAGAAGCACCGGCUAACUACGUG
rnacentral:rRNA from 1 species